rnacentral:rRNA from 1 species
GCGUUAAGUUGCAGGGUAUAGACCCGAAACCCGGUGAUCUAGCCAUGGGCAGGUUGAAGGUUGGGUAACACUAACUGGAGGACCGAACCGACUAAUGUUGAAAAAUUAGCGGAUGACCUGUGGCUGGGGGUGAAAGGCCAAUCAAACCGGGAGAUAGCUGGUUCUCCCCGAAAGCUAUUUAGGUAGCGCCUCGUGAAUUCAUCUCCGGGGGUAGAGCACUGUUUCGGCUAGGGGGCCAUCCCGGCUUACCAACCCGAUGCAAACUGCGAAUACCGGAGAAUGUUAUCACGGGAGACACACGGCGGGUGCUAACGUCCGUCGUGAAGAGGGAAACAACCCAGACCGCCAGCUAAGGUCCCAAAGUCAUGGUUAAGUGGGAAACGAUGUGGGAAGGCCCAGACAGCCAGGAUGUUGGCUUAGAAGCAGCCAUCAUUUAAAGAAAGCGUAAUAGCUCACUGGUCGAGUCGGCCUGCGCGGAAGAUGUAACGGGGCUAAACCAUGCACCGAAGCUGCGGCAGCGAACGUAUCACCCAAGACAACUUUACGGAGUUGACGAUUGACGGAGCGAAGCGACGUCAAAGCGUUCAUUAAAGUCGAGUUGGCUUAGGGAUACGUUCGUUGGGUAGGGGAGCGUUCUGUAAGCCUGUGAAGGUGGCCUGUGAGGGUUGCUGGAGGUAUCAGAAGUGCGAAUGCUGACAUAAGUAACGAUAAAGCGGGUGAAAAGCCCGCUCGCCGGAAGACCAAGGGUUCCUGUCCAACGUUAAUCGGGGCAGGGUGAGUCGACCCCUAAGGCGAGGCCGAAAGGCGUAGUCGAUGGGAAACGGGUUAAUAUUCCCGUACUUGGUGUUACUGCGAAGGGGGGACGGAGAAGGCUAUGUUGGCCGGGCGACGGUUGUCCCGGUUUAAGCGUGUAGGUGUGUGUUCCAGGUAAAUCCGGUUCACUUUAACACUGAGGCGUGAUGACGAGGCACUACGGUGCUGAAGCAACAAAUGCCCUGCUUCCAGGAAAAGCCUCUAAGCAUCAGGUAACAUCAAAUCGUACCCCAAACCGACACAGGUGGUCAGGUAGAGAAUACCAAGGCGCUUGAGAGAACUCGGGUGAAGGAACUAGGCAAAAUGGUGCCGUAACUUCGGGAGAAGGCACGCUGACACGUAGGUGAAGUGAUUUACUCAUGGAGCUGAAGUCAGUCGAAGAUACCAGCUGGCUGCAACUGUUUAUUAAAAACACAGCACUGUGCAAACACGAAAGUGGACGUAUACGGUGUGACGCCUGCCCGGUGCCGGAAGGUUAAUUGAUGGGGUCAGCGCAAGCGAAGCUCCUGAUCGAAGCCCCGGUAAACGGCGGCCGUAACUAUAACGGUCCUAAGGUAGCGAAAUUCCUUGUCGGGUAAGUUCCGACCUGCACGAAUGGCGUAAUGAUGGCCAGGCUGUCUCCACCCGAGACUCAGUGAAAUUGAACUCGCUGUGAAGAUGCAGUGUACCCGCGGCAAGACGGAAAGACCCCGUGAACCUUUACUAUAGCUUGACACUGAACAUUGAGCCUUGAUGUGUAGGAUAGGUGGGAGGCUUUGAAGCGUGGACGCCAGUCUGCGUGGAGCCGGCCUUGAAAUACCACCCUUUAAUGUUUGAUGUUCUAACGUGGACCCGUUACCCGGGUUGCGGACAGUGUCUGGUGGGUAGUUUGACUGGGGCGGUCUCCUCCUAAAGAGUAACGGAGGAGCACGAAGGUUGGCUAAUCCUGGUCGGACAUCAGGAGGUUAGUGCAAUGGCAUAAGCCAGCUUGACUGCGAGCGUGACGGCGCGAGCAGGUGCGAAAGCAGGUCAUAGUGAUCCGGUGGUUCUGAAUGGAAGGGCCAUCGCUCAACGGAUAAAAGGUACUCCGGGGAUAACAGGCUGAUACCGCCCAAGAGUUCAUAUCGACGGCGGUGUUUGGCACCUCGAUGUCGGCUCAUCACAUCCUGGGGCUGAAGUAGGUCCCAAGGGUAUGGCUGUUCGCCAUUUAAAGUGGUACGCGAGCUGGGUUUAGAACGUCGUGAGACAGUUCGGUCCCUAUCUGCCGUGGGCGCUGGAGAACUGAGGGGGGCUGCUCCUAGUACGAGAGGACCGGAGUGGACGCAUCACUGGUGUUCGGGUUGUCAUGCCAAUGGCACUGCCCGGUAGCUAAAUGCGGAAGAGAUAAGUGCUGAAAGCAUCUAAGCACGAAACUUGCCCCGAGAUGAGUUCU